ACUGACACAUGGCUCCGCCGCCAUCCUCCCCAUUUCCGACCCCUCUCUCCGCCGCCUGUUGCGGCAAGGAUGCUGCUUGGGUUAGGGGGUUGGGAUUGGUCUGGAGGUGUUCGGAGUGGGAUGGCACGUGGGGUUUGAGGGAUGCCGGGGCCUGAGGCCGGACUGGCGGUUCGCGAGCGGUGGGCGGUUCCGGCGGCGGGGAGCCGCCGGAGAUGGAGGUGGACGGCGCCGCGUGGGCGAGGGUGCGGGAGUGGUGCUUGCAGGGGUUGGUGAAGCGCGCCGAACCCACGAACACGCCACUGCCGGUUCGCCCCCCUAUUGACGCUAGAGGAGGUGCCGCCGCCGCCGCCACCGCCGCCGCCGCCUGCCAGUUCCAAGAAGAAGUUGUCGAAGGCUGAAGCAGGCCCAACGUGGCGCUGACGGCGGGCGUCAUUGGUUGCGGUGGGGGCAGCAUCAGCCUGCUUGAUUGAGGUAUAAGAUCCGCAUUGUUGUAUUUGGGUGGACUAUACUGUUUGGGCUUCGAAUUUCCAUGAUUAUUGGAGCAUUUGGUUCAUCAUGAUCCGAUUUUGUCUGAUGACAUUGUUCCACCCUCUGCGUUCUCCUCGGCUCAACUUCCUCCUCGGAUCGGCUCGCGGGCCGCGGCCAACUUCCUCAGGCCGGUCACCUCCUCAAUGCCAGGCACCGCUGCGCAUCGGCGCACGGGCACCUCCUCUGUGUUGGCUACCUCUGAUACUGCUGGCUCUCCUCGACCAUCACGGCCACCACCUCGACCUUGGCAGCCACCUUCUCGACGCCAAUGCAAUGCAACCAUCUCACUGUGUGCCUGGUCCUAUCUUGUGGUGGUAGUGCUCUUCAAGGCGGAGGGAGUUGAUGCAUAGUCACUGGCCAAGGCAUGGUGCAGGUGCAGGUGUUGGAAGUGUUUGUGUGGUUCAGACAGCAAUUGUCCAAGGGCAGAGGGUAUGCAGAUCCUCACAGACUAGCACAUGCAGCCUAUGUCACCUCCUAACGAAAUCAUGCUCUUGUAGCCUACUUCGUGUAAAGGCAUUGAUUCAGGUGAUAUGCUUCUAGCUGUGUUCUGGUUCAUCAAUGCAAAUAUGCAAUGGAAUUUUGUGCAGCAUUAUGUUGUAGCAUUGUUUACCCCUUGUGCAACACAGGUGUUUGCGUGUGUCGUUUCAAAAAUAAAUGCGUGUGUCAAAACCAACAUCUGAUUUCAUUCUCUCUAGAAAGAUCCCUUUAUUAUGAUGUUCUACACAUGAGUUCUUAUAUCUUGGAAAAUGAAAAAAAAUAGUGGCUAUGUUCUAUAUAUUAUGUUGCUAUGUUUAUCCUUAAAUGAAGUCUGUAGUUAACUUAUAUAUUCCAGCUCUAUAUAUUAGUGAGACAAGCUGUUGCAGGAUAGUUAUUGCAAUUGACUGUUAGUUUAGUUAUGCAUUGCUGAUGAAACUAUAUACAUAAGUCAUCACAAGCGUGUACAAGGCAAAGGGUCUGUUAUAUCGCUUGCGCGUUCUGUUUAAUUUCUUUUUAGAACAAUGUGUAUCCCAGUUAUGUUGUUGUGUCGUUGCAUCUUUGUGCGGUAGUUCCAGUUCAAUGGGGGUGAUGGUGGAGGAUGCCAGCGGGACGUGUCUUGUCCAGCCUCCAGUGCUGGCGGCAGCUGCUUUUUCGUCUUGUGACAUUCAGCCCAAGCGCUUCCUUCCCCUGUGACGAUCUGUUCUUCCUGCUUACAGCUCUGCACCGGAAGAGUUGAAAUUUUUAGUCAUGGAUUGUGCCGUUAAGCUUUGAAUAUCUGGUAUCUUGUCUACUAUUGCUUUCCUGACCUCGAUGACUGCAAUAAGUCUUACCCUGUUUAGAUGCUUAGUUCAAUUUUGCCCACAUGAUUUUCUUAUUCUUUUGAGAUAUAUCUUAUGAUCUCACCAUCAGCUGUUUUGACAUCUCCCCCCACAGCCGAAUUUCAUUUAGUUCACUGUAUCUGAAUUCUCCCAUAUUUACUUAACCUUUUCCCCCUUUAUACCCUGCAUUUGUGUAUCCUGCAUUUGAGACUUGUUAGGGUAUGUUUGGCAGAGCUCCCAGAGCUGAUUCCCUGCUGAUUCCAGCAGGAGCUUUGCCAAAUAGUUUUUCAGAGAGAAGUGAUUUGUCGCUGAUUCUGUGAAGUGAUUUUUUGAAAUGAACUAAGAGGCUGGGAGCUGAAAAAAGUAGCUUCUCUUGAUUCUGUGGAGUGAUUCUCCAUCCUGAUUUUAAGAGUUUAUGCUAGAGAAUCAAAGAGAAUCACUUUCAACCACAGAAUCACUUCUGUCAGAGAAUCAGCUCCCAGAGAAUCAGAAUCAGAUGGAGCUCUACCAAACAGACCCUUAGUAGAUGCAAAUCAGAUAUCCCCAAUUGUUAUAUGAUCAAUACAGUCCAUUCACUAGUGAAUCUCUUUUGUUACACAUAAUUCAGUCCAGUUAAUUGAGUAGUUGUAUAUCUUGCAGAUAUUCUAUUAUUGUGUCAUUCGGAUAUUAUUGGUCUAUUGAGUUGCCCAAAAUAUAUGCUAGUAUGUAUUUUCUUCUUCUGUUAGACAAAUAUGAGCUGGCAAGCUUAAGAACCCUCCCUGGGGUUUAUUUACUGCCCUAAUAGCUCACUGGGCGUUGACAUGUUGCAUAUUGAUGAAUGGUUGAUUAUUUAAGCAUUACUGUUCACUACAGGCUAUAGCUGUCGUGCGCGCUGCUCAAGUGUGGUGAACAGUACCAGGCAAUAUGUGAGGACGAGGUGAAUAGUUUCCUUGAGCAAGGAGCAGAGUCUGAGCUGGUUCUCACUUUUUUCAGGCUGGUCUCUAUUAGGAAUAUGUACAACACAAAAUGGUGCAAAAUGUAAUUGAGCUGUUUAUUUUCUGAAAACCAUCUGGUAACACAAAUUAGUUUCUUCCUUUGCCUGUUUCCAGGCAUCUGAAAUCCGGAAAAUCAUCUUCCAAGGCGCUAACAUCUGCGUCUGCGCCUCUGCGGUUACUCACUCUGUUUUACCAUUGAUGCACUGUUAGUCUCAAAUGUGUCACAUUCAUUGGCAUAUAUUUCUGUGCUUACAAAAACUUUGGUGGUGGUGGGGUCAGAUCAUAUGUAUGUAAUGUAAUACUUUUUAUUAGAGUUGAGUUGUUGUUGCAGUAGCAAUCUUUGGGAAAGAAAAUGUGAACAGGUUGAUAGUUCUUUUAAAACCAAUACUCUAAAGGUUAAUUAACUGAAGUUACCACAAAAUGAUGAAACGUAAGUUCAUAUAUUCCAUUUGAAUUGAAAUGAUCCUAAAUCCUUAUGAGUGGUGUUUUUGUUGCUCUAAAAAAAUAUCUGAAUUGCACAAAUCCUAAAGCAGCAUUGCUAGUAAUGGGGUUUUGAGCAAUGUUUUUAUAGCUUUUUAUGUUGCAAAAGGUGAAACAUCUAUCAGUUUUAGUUGCACAAUAGUUGCCCAUGGAUGCUAGAAAAAAAAUGAAUUGCUCAUAUUAGCAUUUGCAUAUUUAUAUUAUUUGAGAUGAAGAAAUACCUACUUUUAGCAUCAUUUAAUGUUUCUCAGGAAUUUAGCACUGCGAUAUACCAAUUUGAGGAUGUUGGCAUGAUUAAGUAUUUUGCUGUAUGGAUUUCUCUAAAUUUAUGUUAUUGAUACCAGUCAAAACUACAUUAUCACACCUAAAAAUAUGGAUUCGACAUUUCAUUUGUUUGUUUACUUUAGAUUAAAUUUCUUAACAGUUUAGUGGUUGUGUUCAUGCCCUUUGGCUGAUGAUAAAGUAAUGCUAUAGUCUUCCGAUUCGCAUUUUUCAUGAUCUUACCCUUUAACUUGUCGAAAUAGAAACAUAUGUAGGGUCCAAACUUGUUCUUUGUCAAGCUGAUGUGAUCCCAAAGCUGACUGAUCUUUCAACUAUGCAGGUUAACAGCUAUGGAGGGCUGGAUCAACUCUUGCUGCUUGCUGCUUUUUGAAUUCAUGAAGAAUGAAUGGAGGAUUUAAUGGCAGUGGUAGCAAUGGAGAAAAGCAGUUUGAGUGGAAAGCACCAACGUGGAAGAACACCAACUGUUGAAGGCCGAACUUGUAACCCACCGACAUGGCAAAAUUGUUAGUGAUAAUUGGCAUUACCGUGUAACAGUUUUUUAGGCCAUAUACGAUAAAGUCAGUACAAUUUUUGCCAUGUUUAAGUUUCUUUCCAGAUUAUCUAUCAAAAGCACCUUUUAUUUGC